GAGUUUGAUCUUGGCUCAGAUUGAACGCUGGCGGCAGGCCUAACACAUGCAAGUCGAGCGGUAGAGAGAAGCUUGCUUCUCUUGAGAGCGGCGGACGGGUGAGUAAUGCCUAGGAAUCUGCCUGGUAGUGGGGGAUAACGCUCGGAAACGGACGCUAAUACCGCAUACGCCCUACGGGAGAAAGCAGGGGACCUUCGGGCCUUGCGCUAUCAGAUGAGCCUAGGUCGGAUUAGCUAGUUGGUGAGGUAAUGGCUCACCAAGGCGGCGAUCCGUAACUGGUCUGAGAGGAUGAUCAGUCACACUGGAACUGAGACACGGUCCAGACUCCUACGGGAGGCAGCAGUGGGGAAUAUUGGACAAUGGGCGAAAGCCUGAUCCAGCCAUGCCGCGUGUGUGAAGAAGGUCUUCGGAUUGUAAAG
rnacentral:rRNA from 1 species